rnacentral:lncRNA from 1 species
UGGCUCGUAGGUGCUCGUUACCACAUCGGGCCGGAAAUCAUUUCGAAACCAUUGGAGAACCAAAAGAAGGAAGCAAAACCACUGGAGUACUACUAAAUUUAGGAGUGAGACCAUGUACAAAUUGGGGUUAGCCUUGUGUUCUUUAUCGUAUUUGCUUUGCGUGGAUUGUGGGGCAAGAAUAUGUUUGUGUGUGCAAUUAACAACACCGCAUCUCCUUUUUUCUUCCUUCUUUCUUUUAGCGAGCGCUAGUGGUAGUAAAGGCGAUCGGACGAGCGGGAUUUGUUGGACUAAUGCGGCACGAAAUGCUUUAAGGACGCACCUUUUAAAUUACGGCGAUAUUCGACCGGUCCAUUCACUCCACUGAUCCGGCCCAAAGCGCCGGCAGCAAUCAUGCAUUCAACCUCGAUCCCAUAUUCCGGCCGGUUGAUUAAUUUGAUCUUCUCUUUUUAUAUGAUGAGGCUGGGGUUACAUAUUCUUAUUCGUCCUUGGAAAUUAGUUGAACUUUACAAUUUCAAUCCUUACAAAUUAGAGCUGGAGCCAGUUGAAAAUAUCACGCGCUCAGCUCGCGAAUAGGUACGUACGUAGGGCUGUAGCGAGACGGCCAGGAGGGGGAGGGCGAAAGCGACGUGGACUGUACAAAAAGCGGGGCUGCUUGUUGUAAGAGAGAUCCGUGCCUGUAUCGCGCGAUCGGUCGCCAUCGUCGCUGGCUGGCCCGGACGAGCGUGCGCCGCUUGCGUGCGUUCGGGCCGGGUCGCUGGCUCGGCGGUGGAAUAUUUUGGGCGCGUCCGCCUCGUCGGGAGCCCGUUGGCGUGGAUCGUCCGUCCGUCGCUGAGACAUGCAUGCAUGGGAGGGGAGGGGAGGGACGAGAGGACAGCGGAGUGGUUGCGCGCGUGUAAAUGGCGCCAUGUUUACGUACGUUUUGGCCGGGGUGGGGAGAGCGUCGUACCGCGAGGAUAAGGCGAGAUCCCGAGCCGCUGCCUCCCUCCUCCCCGAUGCUCCGUCGCCGUGUGAGUUAUUGCGACUGCUGUGCUGUGUGUGUGUGACACCUUGCCUUGGUCCGUCGUGGAGGACAGUGCGUGCGUGCGUGCGUGCAUGCAUGCGCAUGAGCGAAAUGGAGAGACUGUGUGUGGGAUAUAGCUGUAGAAGUGUGAGGUGGAUGCACGAGACGACCAUGCCAUAGACGGAGGAGAUGGGUGAUGGCUGUGGUGUACGACUAUAGGACAACUAGCUUUCUUUUUGAGAGAGAGAGAGGACUGGUGGUACAACUCUACUAGUAUUUCAUUUUGAUGAUGGAGUACGUCUGGUCAGGACUACGGACAAAGACUAAGCUUGUUGACCAUCGUCCGUGUUAGCGGGGAUUGGAUCCUUGUUUUCGGGUUUUCCUAACCUAUUCGCCCAUGCGUUAUCAACGUGUUCCCUCCAGGAGGAGCCUUCUACUAGGUCGUGUCGUGCGUAUACUGUUCCUACUGUAUGGUAGUAUAAAGGCAUUUCCAACGCUGACCUUCAAACCGCCGCGUACGUCCGGAAAGCGCGGUCCAUACCCCGGAAGCCAUCCAAUACGGACCUGUAUCGGUUCGCCAAGCGGUCCGGGUCAUGUUUUUCCCAUAAACUGAAACCAAACAUAGGGGGCUUUGCGGGAGUACGGACAUGAGACACGUCGAACUCGUACACCCAUGGCCCACUCAAAAGGAAGGCAGAGUCCAUCCUUUUGUAGCAUCCCCCGCACCGUUUCCUUGCUAAAAUCCCCAAUUCUCUUCUUCCAUCCCAUCGCUUUUCACCCAAUUCCCGUCCUUUUCUCCCACUUUCUUCUUCGCUGCCGCCGACGCAUGGAACCGAACGAGGACCUGCCGGAGAUAGAGGUGGUGGAUGUGCAGGAGGAUCCGAGCAUCACCCUUGCCCGGAAGAUCAACUCGGUGACACGGCAAAAUCGCCGCGUCAAAGCGAAGGUCGCAAAGAAGGAAACACUCAUGAAGCAGAAGGCGGACGGAGGGCGUGCUGAUGGCGUCCGUCGCGGUCGGCGUGCUGGUCGCAGACGUGGUUGAGGUCGCGGAGCCAUGAUGGUGGCGCCCAUCCUCCAGACACCGCCAUGGCCGGAGCAUUACAAGGCUCCAUACUACUAUGCCGUCAAGCAGCUCAGCAGCCAAUCCACGGCAACCACCGUCGGGCAAGUGCCUUACAUCGUCAACGUAAACGCGGCGCCGCUGCUCUUCUCAGAGUCUUCUUCGCCGCAGCUCGUCCGGGCAUGGACCGUGGGCGGGGAGCACAUGGGUGCCCGUGCGCUAUUCGCUGCUAUGCCUAAAGCGGGGGAGAAGGCGUACAACGACGCGGAUAGGAAGAUGUUCGACAUCAUCCACUAUGGACGCGGAGGAGGAGGAGGUUAUUAGGACGGGCAGGUGGAAGACUCGGAUGCCACCCAGUCCGGCAACUACACCCACAUGCAUCAGGGCUACACCCAGACCAGCACACAACGGACGGGCAUACAACAUCAGGAUUGGGCCGCCGGACAGGCGGAGGAGGAGGUGGAGGAGGAUGAGGACGGCGAAGACGAUGAUCCAGAUGAUUUUGCCGGCGAUCCGAAGAAGAAGGGUAGAUGAGAAAUCUUCAACGAGGUAGGAGGACGAGCUGUUGUGCGAUGCAUGGUUGGCCACUAGCCUCGAUCCGAUCCAUGACACGAAGCAGAAGGGCUCAACUUUUUGGGCCAACAUUCACACAUGGUUCCAGGAACACAAACAUUUCGCGCCCUACUCCGACGCGGUCAUCAGCACCCAUGGACCAAAGCCCCUCAACCAUUGACGGGACACCAUCCAAGAGGUCGUGUCAAAAUAUUGUGGCCAUUUGGCGCAUCUCAUCGCAUGGUGGCCUAGUGGUGCCCCAAUCACCGAGCAAGUAAGUUCAUUUGGCCGGACAUGCAUAGUUUUGUAGCCGGAUAUGCAUAGUUUUUUUAUCAUUGGCCGGAUAUGCAUAGUUUAGUUGAUCACUAGCCAGAUAUGCAUAGUUUUCCGAUCACUUACUGGAUAUGCAUAGUUUUGUUGAUCAUUUGUCGGAUAUGCGGAGCUUUGUAGCCGGAUAUGCAUAGUUUUGUUGAUCAUUUACCGGGUAUGCACAGUUUUGUAGCCGGAUAUGCAUAGUUCUACUAAUCAUUGGCCGGAUAUGCACAGUUUUGUAGCCGGAUAUGCAUGGUUUUGCCGAUCAUUUGCCGGAUAUGCAUAGUUUUGUAGCCGGAUAUGCAUAGUUUUGUUGAUCAUUGUCCGGAUAUGCAUAAUUUUAUUGAUCACUAGCCGAAUAUGCAUAGUUUUAUUGACAAUGUUUUAUUUUGUAGCCUUCUUGUGCAUGUGCGGUGUUCACGAAGUUGGAAAAGAAAAACUUCACCGUACACGCACUAGAAGGCUACAAAAUAAUUUGCCUCCUUGUGUUUUGGAGAUUGUUGACAUAAAAAGUGUGGGACUAACGCGUUUGCUAGUGCACACUAAGUGACAAGUCCCUGAAAUCAUGUGGAGUUUGGAACAAACUCCAAAGAUAAUCUCCUGCGGGGCAGGAGGAUUAUCACCGAAGGUUAUGCCUGUCGAAAGUGAACCUCUAAAAUUGUUGACCCAAAGCAUUUGGUUCAGUGUUUGCCCGAAGAAAUUGGCAGCACCCUAGAAGUUUGAAGAUGGAGAAAUGACGUAGUAUUUUCUUUCGUUGUUCUUCUUCUCUUUCUUGAGUCAUAGGACCACCGUACUAUUAAGAGGGGUACAAUGAACUUAUGGUUCUCUGAAGCUAAACCAAAACCUAUGUGAGUUGAGAGAAAUCUCUUUGUGCUCCGAAUUUAUACUCGCUAGCAAGAGACGUAGUUCUUCUUUGUUGCAAGAGAUUUGAUUCAGACCGUGGAGUUAGCAUUACGUGCUUCGCAAGUAAUGUUACGGUUGUGCCUAAGAAUCCGACCACUGGUUAUGUGUCGGUUGAGCAUUGGUCGAGCGGUCAUGUCCAAAAUGGUCCUUUCCCAUCAGGAAGACCGCGGCUAUAAAUAGCCCACCCCUUCCAACGUGCACCGUGGGCUGCUCCAUUUGAUUUCUGAGAAGAUUGUGAGAGCACCCUCUCUCCCGAGUCAUUUGAGUUUAAAAUCCACCGAGAGAAAAACCCCAGAGCCAAAAAAUUAGAUAGUGGUUUAGCAUGUCGAAACUAAGUCCAGUAUGCUCCGCCUAUUAAUCUUGAGAGCUGAAAAUUCUCUAGAGGUUAGCUGCCAAGUCUUUCAAUGACCAGUAGUAAUUUUGGUUAACGAAGCCAAAGUCUAUACAGGUUCGGAGAUUGCCUCAAGUAUCUACCACGAGUGAUCGACACUGAUUGACGAAUCAGUUGUUGAGGAGAAUAGGGCGCAGAGAGUUUAUCUUCUGUAUUCAAUCACGAACCCCUCCAACCAGAUGUAGUCCAUUUGCAGAAGGGCGAACUGGUCUACCAAAUCAUUCAUCAGCAUCGAGCAUCAUUGGUCAUUUCUUCACUCUAUUUACCUUCGUUCAUCAGUUGUGAAAUAUGUCUCGACCAUGUGAUUGAUUCUCGUUGCCUGUUGUAAUUCUCGUUCGAUAGUUAUUUCUCGUUCUCUGUUCAUUGGUUGCUUUCAUCCUGCUGCUGGGUUCCAGAGAUUUGAAGUUUUUGAAAGAAAAUUUUAAUCUCCCAUUCACUCCCCCCCUCUCUGGUAGACAUACUUCGUUCUUACAGGACACAUACAUGGUAGCAUUGGAGGGCCGCUUCCCGCACCCUUGUCCGCGGACGAAUGCCGGUGUAAAUUUGCGAGUAAGUGUUGAAGAUGCCCUAACAUACUCCCUCCAUUCCGAAUUACUUGUCUCAGAUUUUUCUAAAUACAGAUGUAUCUAGACAGGUUUUACUGUUAGAUAUAUUUAUAUCUAGACAAAUCGGACAAGUAGUUUGAGACGUAUGUAAUAUUAGGGUGUACACGGUAAUGGCAAGAUGAUGAUUAGAUGAUGUGUGUUUCGACAAACGAUUUAAAUUGCUAGUCCUAUAUAGCAUUUCGGGAGACUAAAAGCAAAUUGUUGUACUCUGUACCGCUACCCUAGCUACGACCGCUACAGUGCCAUAUAGGUGCACUGUUUAGCAUACAUCGCUGUCAAUAUAGCUAAAGCUAUUAUCUCGUAUACACCUAAAUUUAAUAAAAGAACCGAUGUAUAUAACUAACUAACAUGAAAAACUAGAAACCCUAAUAGCAUAGAGUCCAAUCUUUCUUGAGAGGUUGUUUUAUAUUGGAUGUUCGACGGGUUGGUGACUACUUCAAGGUGACUCUCACUAACACUCAUCAUGUCACAACCAAGUGAGAAAAUAAACCAUCUACCCAUAUGUUGGUUAGUUAUAUAUAUAUACAUAUAUAUAUAUAUAUAUGUUUGGAUUCUCAGACCUUAUUUGGCUUGUAUUUUAACAUUGGGUUUUCUAUUUCUGUGCCCCUCCUUCCUUAGUUGUGCUUAGUUUUGCCCAACCCUCUAACUUUUGCUCACUUUUUCCCUCCACCACUCGCCCCGUGCUUACAAAGAUCCAAAUGAAGCCUUGUUGUCUGGUCAAAGCAAUUGACCGUUACCUCCUCAGUUACUAGCGCGUGGGGAUGGAGAUCUUUGGACAGGUGGGCCACGUAUGACAGGUGGGUCGUGGCCAUGAUAGCUUAUGACAAGUGGGACCUAGCUCAUUGACCUAUCCCUUUCUUUUGCCUAAAUCAGCCCGACCCAGAGUGAGCCGUCGCAUCCCCCAUCCAGCCCCACUCCACUGUCGUGCCCCCUCGCAGCCCCGCCACCCAAUCCGUAGCCUCGCCGGCUACUCCGACCGUCUGCCUGAGCUCUAAUGGUGUAGCGUCGUGGUGCGAACGGUCAGCCCUUCCUCCCAAAUGCCAGAACCAUUCGAGUUCGUUGACUGACCGGUACAUUUCUAAUCCAAACCCUAGCAAUUAGGAUUUGGUUAUAAUUCGAUUGAAUGGGCGACUAAGCGAUUGAAUUGGCAUGCGUUGAGUUGCUCCAGUUAGCAAUCAGUGUGGACGUCUAUUUAGGAUUGGAUCCUGCCAGCGGUACUAGUGGCAGCUAGUUUUGAAAUACAAAACCCUAGAAAUUAGGUUUUGUUGAAUGCAGCCCAUUUUAGAUUGUUUUGUGGUGAAUUUGAUCUGAAUAAUUGAAUUCAUUUUUAAUUCUUUGAUUUGCAAUUGGUGUUUGAUUGAUGGCAAGUAGGUCGAAGCUGGAAGAGGGCAAUGGAUUUGUUUUGCGCGGGGGUGAGCUUUUGCUGGCCAAGUGCAAGGAGAUAUGCUCCUGGUUUUCGAGCGCAAAAUCUCUUGUGAUGGACUCGCUGGGCCUGGCGUUGGAACUGAAGACGGACGAGUGGAAGCUGUUACUUCCUAAAGGCAAGGAGGCAGUCCCAAUUGAGAUUCUCCUGUGGCCAAUGGCAGAGGCGAUGGAGUCUCCAUAUCGUCGACAGCGAGCCCAUUGGUACAAGUACAGCUCCCGUCUCUCCUUGCCGAAUCCAGAGGAGGGAGGGCUGGUGAAUUUGUGUAUUAUCCAGGUCGUCGAUGAGGUGAUGGAGGAGGAGGAUAGCAACGAGGAGGAGGAUGAAGAAGAGGAGAGCUACCAGGGAGGGAUGCAAAUUAUCACAGAUGAGGAUGCACAACAUGAGGGCUAUUAGGAGGGUUUGGAGAUCAUCACUCAUCCUGCUUAGGAAGGCAUGAAUCUAGCGAUUAAUUUUGAUGGAGAGGAUGAGCAGAUGGUAGAUCAUAAGCACUUGGAGGCUGAUGCCGGCAAUGAUCUAGCGCUAGUCACCGUGGACGCCCAUGCUCACUGCCAGCAUGCCCCAAUAGAGGUGGAGUAGUAUGAGUUCUCAUUGCGGUUUGAGAAAAACGUUGAACGCUCUCACCGUCGCCUGGCUCGCAAUCUUAAGCAUCUCCAAACCGCACCUAGCUAGUUCUGACGAUCCGACAUGUGGAUGCACUAACUGCAAAGAGUGUUAUGUUGGUGUAUUUAAUCAGCACUUGAAUGCUAUGUUUUGGAUUUCCUACAUUGAGUGGGUUUUGCAUGUUCAAACAUAGUGCCACAUGCAGAACUGGCCAAAAAUAGCAACAUGCAAAACCUACCAAAAACAACAUCAUUCAAAACUUACUUAAAAUGGGGUCAAACUUGCAAUGUUGACUUUUCAAAACUUGUGGUAUUGCAAGUUUAUGAUUUUCCCCACAAACUAGUUGACACAAAAGGGCCCCAUGCCCAAGGAUUUUAAUGUGUUUAGGCUUUUUUCAUUUUCUUUGAUUUUUCCAAUCUUGGGUCAAACUUGCAAUGUUGAUCAUUCAUACCAAAUGGCUUGGAAUUUGAACUUUAGUUGUGCCCACUGCAUACACCACCAAUGCAAAAGAUUAAAAUGAUUUUAUCCAAUUUUCAGGACCAAACUACGUCACACUUGUAGUUCAAAUUUGAGCAAUUCGCCAUAAUUCACUAUAAAUCUAGUAAAUCGAUGAAAUAUAGCAAUAGUACUCUGAAAUUCAUGAAACUUGGUUAGCGGGCUUCUAAUGGUCCACUUUAGGGGGGAAAUGAGAAGACCCAAUGUUACAACUUAUUUCAAGCACUUCCUUCAGAAAACAAAUCAUUUCUCGCACUUGAAAAAUGGAAAUAAUAUUUUUUUUAGCAAAAAAAUGUUUUUUUGUUGGGAAACGUAGCAUGCAAUUUAAAAAAAAUCCUACGCUCACGCAAGAUCUAUCUAGGAGAUGCAUAUCAAUGAGAGGGGGAGAGUGUGUCUACGUACCCUCGUAGACCGAAAGCGGAAGCGUUUGACAAUGCUUUUGAUGCAGUCGAACUUCUUCUUGUUCCGACCGAUCAAGCACCGAACGUACGGCACCUCUGAGUUUUGCACACGUUCAACUCGAUGACGUCCCUCGAACUCUUGAUCCAGCAAAGUGUCGAGGAAGUAGAUGAGUUUCGUCAGCACGACGGCGCGGUGACGGGGAUGGUGAAGUGAUCCACGCAGGGCUUCGCCUAAGCACUACGAGAAUAUGACCGAGGGUGUAAUCUGUGGAGGGAGGCGCCGCACACGGCUAACAGAUGUUGUUGUGUGUUCUAGGUGCCUCCCCCCUCAUAUAUAUAGGUGGGAGGGAGAGGGAGCAGCCAAGGGGGCACCCCAAGUAGGAGGAAUCCUACAUGGGGGGCUAGUCCAAUUCGCCCCCCUUACCAUAUUUUCCGGAGGGGGAAGGAAGGAGGAGGGAGGAGGGAAGGAAGGGGGAGGCUGAAUCCCUCCCCUUCCUUCUCUCUUCCCCUCUUUCCUUCCCCUUCUGGUUUGGCCCAUAUGGGGGGCGCAGCAGCCCCUGCUGGCUGCUGCAUUUCUCCUCUUGGCCCAUUAGGCCCAUAUCUUUGCCGGGGGUGCCCGGAACCCCUUCCGGUGACCCGAUAUGUACCCGGUACCCUCCGGAACACUUUCAGUGUCCGAAUACUAUCGUCCUAUAUAUCAAUCUUUACCUCUCGGGCAUUCUGAGACUCCUCGUCAUGUCCGUGGUCUCAUCCGGGACUCCGAACAACAUUCGGUCACCAAAUCACAUAACUCAUAUAAUACAAAAUCAUCAUCGAACGUUAAGCGUGCGGACCCUACGGGUUCGAGAACUACGUAGACAUGACCGAGACACUGAUGACCACAAGUAUCGGGGAUCAAUUGUAGCUCUUUUUGAUAAGUAAGAGUGUCGAACCCAACGAGGAGCGGAAGGAAAUGACAAGUGGUUUUCAGUAAGGUAAUGUCUGCAAGUGCUGAAAUUGUAAGUAGCAGAGUAGUUUGAUAGCAAGAUAAUUUGUAACGAGAAAGUAACGAUAGUAGUAACAAAAGUGCAGCAAGGUAGCCCAAUAAUUUUGAGGCAAAGGACAGGCCAAAUCGGUCUCUUAUAAUAAGCAAAGAAUUCUUGAGGGUACACGGGAAUUUCAUCUAGUCACUUUCACCAUGUUGGUUUGAUUUGUGUUCGCUAUUUUGAUAAUUUGAUAUGUGGGUGGACCAGUGCUUAGGUGCUGUUCUUACUUGAACAAACCUCCUACUUAUGAUUAACCCUCCCGCAAGCAUCCACAACUACGAGAAAAGUAUUAAAAAUAAAUUCUAACCAUAGCAUUAAACUUUUGGAUCCAAUCGGUCCCUUACGGAAUAGCACAUAAAAUGGGAUUUAAGCUUUUAUCACUCUCGCAACCCAUCAUCUAAUUGCAACUCCACAAUGCAUUCCCUUAGGCCCAAAUAUGGUGAAGCGUCAUGUAGUCGACGUUCACAUGACACCACUAAGGGAAUCACAACAUACAUACUAUCAAAAUAUCGAACACAUAUCAAGUUCACAUGAUUACUUGCAACAUGAUUUCUCCCGUGACCUCAAGAACAAAAGUAACUACUCACAAAUGAUAAUCAUGCUCAAGAUCAGAGGGGUAUUAAAUAGCAUAUUGGAUCUGAACAUAUAAUCUUCCACCAAAUAAACCAUAUAGUAAUCAACUACAAGAUGUAAUCAACACUACUAGUCACCCACAAGCACCAAUCUAUAGUUCCGGUAACAAGAUUGAACACAAGAGAUGAACUAGGGUUUGAGAUGAGAUGGUGUUGUUGAAUAUGUUUAUGAAGAUAGCCCUCCCCAAGAUGGGAGACUUGUUGGUGAUGAUGAUGACGAUCAUUUCCCCCUACAGGAGGGAAGUUCCCCCGGCGGAAUCGCUCUGCCGGAGGGCAAAAGUGCUCCUGCCCAAGUUCCGCCUCGAGACAGCGGAGCUCCGUCCGGAAAGUCCUCUCAUUAUUUUUUUCUAGGUCAAAAUGACCUAUAUACCAGAAGAUGGGCACCGGAGGUGGGCCUGGGUGAGCACCUAGUGGGCCCCCUCUAGUAGUUAUUUGCUCCAAUAUUCAUCAUAUAUUUGAUAAAAAAUCUCCGUGAAGUUUCAGCUUGUUUGGAGUUGUGCAGAAUAGGUGGCCUGACGUAGCUUUUCCAGGUCCAGAUUUCCAGCUACCGGAAUUCUCCCUGUUUGUGUAUACCUUGCAUAUUAUUGGAGAAAAGGCAUUAGAAUUACUCCAAAAAGCAUUAUUAUGGAUAAAAACAUCAUAAAUAACAGUAGGAAAACACGAUGCAAAAUGGACGUAUCAACUCCCCCAAGCUCAGACCUCGCUUGUCCUCAAGCGAAAACCAAAAUCGAAAAACAUGUCCACAUGCUUAGAGAGAGAGGUGUCGAUAAAAACAAAAUACAGACAUAGAAGCAUUAUGUUCAUUAUUAUAAAAGCAACAAACUUAAACAUAUUAUCAUAGAACUUCUAUCAUAUAGUUCUCAUGAAUAAGUAACAGUUCAUCACACAAUAGAAGUAUAAAGAAAAAACUCUAUUAGAAACCAACAAACUAAGUUCUUAAUCAACUUUGCAACUACAAUUUAUCAUCUUUUCAGGAAGGGUCACGUAUCGGAGCCUUUAGGAAAGUCCACAUAGUCAACCAUCAUAUAGUCUUCUAUGAUUGCUAACACUCACCGCAUACACAUGAGCAAAACGUUUCAACUGGACACAUAAGAGGAUAGGGGCUUAUAGUUUCGCCUCCCAAUGUAUUCACCUCAAGGGUGAUGUCAACAAUAAUAACUCAUGCCACCCAUAUUCAACUGGACAUAUGUGCCUAGAUCUUUCCUCACCACAUGAUGCUUGCCAAAGGAGAAAAUAAAAAGGAGUAGAGAGAAAACUUUGACUCUUUGCAUAAAAGUAAAUACAUAGAAGUAAAAGAUAGUCCCUUUGCAGAGGGAAGCAGAGGUUGCCAUGCACUUAUUUUUUUGUAUGCUCAACCCCUUAGUGCAAAAGAACGUCACGUUGCAUUGUCCCUUGUGAUAGCGACCUUUAUUAUGCAGUAUGUCACUUUUAUUCUUCACCAUCAAAAGUUCGUGCAACGCUCAAUUUUCUCUUACACUAAAUGAUCUCACACAUUUGGAAGCAAUUUUUAUUGCCUUUUUGCACCGAUGACAACUUACUUGAGGGGUCUUUCUCAAUCCCUAGGUAGGUAUGGUGGACACUUGAAAAUAAGAUUUGGGCUUAAGGGUUUUUAGAUGCACAAGUAGGAUCUCUACUUAGUGCAGAAUUUUUGGCUAGCAAAGAUAGUGGCAAACACCACAUGUUAAAGGAUCUAUGACAAUAUGACUUCUAUGUGAGUAUGAAUAAACAUAAAUCAUUAAGUUGUCUUCCUUAUCCAACGUCAACAAUUUUGGCAUAUAAUAUUUUGAUGGGGGCUCACAAUCACAAAAGAUUUCUAGGAUAGUAUAUUUAUAUGUGAAUCUUCUCUUCCCUUAUUAAUUCUUUCAUGAGUUGCAUCGUUGACUAAUGCUAUGUUUGUUAAUCUCUAAUAAUAUUUUCUACUAAUACUUUCCCUUAUGUGGUGCCAUCACCUACCAUAAGAUUAGUAUAUGAUCUUCUUGAUUUAUUUCCUUUCUUUUAUUUAUAUCUUUUCCUUUAUUUAUUUCUUUUCUUUUAGUUGCAACAAGUAAAGAAAGCAAAAACUCAAACUAAACUUUAUUAUAUAUCUUGCACACGAUUACAAGGAUAGAUCACUAAGCAAAAUCUCAAAGAAGAAAGGAUCGAACUAAACUUUUAUUCAAUCUAAAGCAAAAGAUCAAACUAAAAUAAGUAAAGGCAAAAAGAUACUGGGGAUGAUACGAUACCAGGGCACCUCCCCCAAGCUUGGCGGAAGCCAAGGGGAGUGCCCAUACCCUAUACUCAAUUUUCCUUUGGUGGUGAAUAAGAUGGUGGUGGUGGUGACGAAGAAGUAGAGGGUUUGCUCUUCUUUUCCUCCAACUUCUGUCGGAGAAUAAAAUUAUCUGUCCUCAACUCGUCGUUAUCUAUCUCGAGUUUUAUUAUCCUCUUGCAUAACGCAUCCAUGCUUUCGUUUGGAACCGGGGAGGAACCGAUUCAUCUUCAUCCUCCUCAGAGGUCCAGCUAUAGUGCUCCACAUCCCCAUAGGACUUGGGGUUUGCGAUGAAAUCAGCAACAUAGCUCUCUCCCUCGGAGUCUUGGGACGACAUACUUUCAGAUCUUCAUACCUAGUUAAAUAUCGUUACUGGCAAGUCUCUUUACUCGUUCCUUAAUACAUCAUUGUCGGUGUCAAAACCGGCAGAUCUCGGGUAGGGGGUCCCGAACUGUGCGUCUAAGGUCGAUGGUAACAGGAGACGGGGGACACAAUGUUUACCCAGGUUCGGGCCCGCUCUAUGGAGGUAAUACCUGAUGACCCACAAGUGUAGGGGAUCUAUCGUAGCCUUUUCGAUAAGUAAGAGUGUCGAACCCAACGAGAAGCAGAAGGAAAUGACAAGCAGUUUUCAGUAAGGUAUUCUCUGCAAGCACUGAAAUUAUAGGUAACAGGUAGUUUGUGAUAAGAUAAAUUGUAACGGGUAGCAAAUAACAAGUGUAAAUAAAGUGCAGCAAGAUGGCCCAAUCCUUUUUGUAGCAAAGGACAAGCCUGGACAAACUCUUAUAUAGAGAAAAGCGCUCCCGAGGACACAUGGGAAUUAUCGUCAAGCUAGUUUUCAUCACGUUCAUAUGAUUCGCGUUCGGUACUUUGAUAAUUUGAUAUGUGGGUGGACCGGUGCUUGGGUGUUGUCCUUACUUGGACAAACAUCCCACUUAUGAUUAACUCCUAUUGCAUCCACAACUACAAAAGAAGUAUUAAGGUAAACCUAACCAUAGCAUGAAACAUAUGGAUCCAAAUCGCCCCCUUACGAAGCAAUGCAUAAACUAGGGUUUAAGCUUCUGUCACUCUAGCAACCCAUCAUCUACUUAUUGUUGGGGAACGUAGUAAUUUCAAAAAAAUUCCUACGCACACGCAAGAUCAUGGUGAUGCAUAGCAACGAGAGGGGAGAGUGUUGUCCACGUACCCUCAUAGACCGACAGCGGAAGCGUUAUCACAACGCGGUUGAUGUAGUCGUAUGUCUUCACGAUCCGACCGAUCAAGUACCGAACGUACGGCACCUCCGAGUUCUACACACGUUCAGCUCGAUGACGUCCCUCGAACUCCGAUCCAGCCGAGUGUUGAGGGAGAGUUUCGUCAGCACGACAGCGUGGUGACGAUGAUUAUGUUCCAGCGACGCAGGGCUUCGCCUAAGCUCCGCAACGGUAUUAUCGAGGUGUAAUAUGGUGGAGGGGGGCACCGCACACGACUAAGAGAUCUCAAGGAUCAAUUGUUGUGUCUCUGGGGUGCCCCCUGCCCCCGUAUAUAAAGGAGCAAGGGAGGAGGAGGCCGGCCCUAGGAGGGGGCGCACCAAGUGUGGAGUCCUACUAGGACUCAAUAGGAAAAGAGGAAGGGAAAAAGAGAAGGAAGGAAGGGGGCGCCCCCCUUCCCUAGUCCAAUUCGGACCAGACCAAGGGGAGGGGUGCGACCACCCUUGAGGCCCUUUUUCUUCUUUCCCGUAUGGCCCAAUAAGGCCCAAUACGUAUUCCCGUAACUCUCCGGUACUCCGAAAAAUACCCGAAUCACUCGGAACCUUUUCGAAGUCCGAAUAUAGUCGUCCAAUAUAUCGAUCUUUACGUCUCGGCCAUUUCGAGACUCCUCGUCAUGUCCCCGAUCUCAUCCGGGACUCCAAACUCCUUCGGUACAUCAAAACUCAAUAAAACUGUCAUCGUAACGUUAAGCGUGCGGACCCUACGGGUUCGAGAACUAUGUAGACAUGACCGAGACACGUCUCCGGUCAAUAACCAAUAGCGGGACCUGGAUGCCCAUAUUGGCUCCCACAUAUUCUACGAAGAUCUUUAUCGGUCAGACCGCAUAACAACAUACGUUGUUCUCUUUGUCACCGGUAUGUUACUUGCCCGAGAUUUGAUCGUCGGUAUCUCGAUACCUAGUUCAAUCUCGUUACCGGCAAGUCUCUUUACUCGUUCUGUAACACAUCGUCCCGCAACUAACUUAUUAGUCACAAUGCUUGCAAGGCUUACAGUGAUGUGCAUUACCGAGUGGGCCCAGAGAUACCUCUCCGACAAUUGGAGUGACAAAUCCUAAUCUCGAAAUACGCCAACCCAACAAGUACCUUUGGAGACACCUGUAGAGCACCUUUAUAAUCACCCAUUUACGUUGUGACGUUUGGUAGCACACAAAGUGUUCCUCCGGUAAACGGGAGUUGCAUAAUCUCAUAGUCAUAGGAACAUGUAUAAGUCAUGAAGAAAGCAAUAGCAACAUACUAAACGAUCGAGUGCUAAGCUAACGGAAUGGGUCAAGUCAAUCACGUCAUUCUCCUAAUGAGGUGAUCUCGUUAAUCAAAUGACAACUUAUGUCUAUGGCUAGGAAACAUAACCAUCUUUGAUUAACGAGCUAGUCAAGUAGAGGCAUACUAGUGACACUCUGUUUGUCUAUGUAUUCACACAUGUAUCAUGUUUCCGGUUAAUACAAUUCUAGCAUGAAUAAUAAACAUUUAUCAUGAUAUAAGGAAAUAAAUAAUAACUUUAUUAUUGCCUCUAGGGCAUAUUUCCUUCAGUCUCCCACUUGCACUAGAGUCAAUAAUCUAGUUCACAUCGCCAUGUGAUUUAACACUAAUAGUUAACAUCACCAUGUGAUUAACACCCAUAGUUCACAUCGCUAUGUGACCAACACUCAAAGGGUUUACUAGAGUCAGUAAUCUAGUUCACAUCGCUUAUGUGAUUAACACCCAAAGAGUACUAAGGUGUGAUCAUGUUUUGCUUGUGAGAUAAUUUUAGUCAACGAGUCUGUCACAUUCAGAUCCGUAAGUAUUUUGCAAAUUUCUAUGUCUACAAUGCUCUGCAUGGAGCUACUCUAGCUAAUUGCUCCCACUUUCAAUAUGUAUCUAGACCGAGACUUAGAGUCAUCUAGAUUAGUGUCAAAACUUGCAUCGACGUAACCUUUUACGACGAGCCUUUUGUCACUUCCAUAAUCGAGAAACAUAUCCUUAUUCCAGUAAGGAUAAUUUUGACCGCUGUCCAGUGAUCUACUCCUAGAUCACUAUUGUACUCCCUUGCAAAAAUCAGUGUAGGGUAUACAAUAGAUCUGGUACACAGCAUGGCAUACUUUAUAGAACCUAUGGCCGAGGCAUAGGGAAUGACUUUCAUUCUUUUUCUAUCUUCUGCCGUGGUCGGGUUUUGAGUCUUACUCAAUUUCACACCUUGUAACACAGGCAAGAAACUCUUUAUUUGACUGUUCCAUUUUUGAACCACUUCAAAAUCUUGUUAAGGUACGUACUCAUUGAAAAAACUUAUCAAGCGUCUUGAUCUAUCUCUAUAGAUCUUGAUGCUCAAUAUGUAAGCAGCUUCACCGAGGUCUUUCUUUGAAAAACUCUUAUUCAAGUAUCCCUUUAUGCUAUCCAGAAAUUCUAUAUCAUUUCCAAUCAGUAAUAUGUCAUCCACAUAUAAUAUCAGAAAUGCUACAGAGCUCCCACUCACUUUCUUGUAAAUACAUGCUUCUCCAAAAGUCUGUAUAAAACCAAAUGCUUUGAUCACACUAUCAAAAGCGUUUAUUCCAACUCCGAGAGGCUUGCACCAGUCCAUAAAUGGAUCGCUGGAGCUUGCACACUUUGUUAGCUCCCUUUGGAUCGACAAAACCUUCUGGUUGCAUCAUAUACAACUCUUCUUCCAGAAAUCCAUUCAGGAAUGCAGUUUUGACAUCCAUUUGCCAAAUUUCAUAAUCAUAAAAUGCGGCAAUUGCUAACAUGAUUCGGACAGACUUAAGCAUCGCUACGGGUGAGAAGGUCUCAUCGUAGUCAAUCCCUUGAACUUGUCGAAAACCUUUCGCAACAAGUCGAGCUUUAUAGACAGUAACAUUACCAUCAGCGUCAGUCUUCUUCUUGAAGAUCCAUUUAUUUUCAAUGGUUUGCCGAUCAUUGGGCAAGUCAACCAAAGUCCAUACUUUGUUCUCAUACAUGGAUCCCAUCUCAGAUUUCAUGGCCUCAAGCCAUUUUGCGGAAUCUGGGCUCACCAUCGCUUCUUCAUAGUUCGUAGGUUCGUCAUGGUCUAGUAACAUAACCUCCAGAACAGGAUUACCGUACCACUCUGGUGCGGAUCUUACUCUGGUUGAUCUACGAGGUUUAGUAAUAACUUGAUCUGAAGUUUCAUGAUCAUCAUCAUUAACUUCCUCACUAAUUGGUGUAGGUGUCUCAAAAACUGGUUUCUGUGAUGAACUACUUUCCAAUAAGGGAGCAGGUAUAGUUACCUCAUCAAGUUCUACUUUCCUCCCACUCACUUCUUUCGAGAGAAACUCCUUCUCUAGAAAAUUUCCGAAUUUAGCAACAAAAGUUUUUGCCUUCGGAUCUGUGAUAGAAGGUAUACCCAACAGUCUCCUUUGGGUAUCCUAUCAGGACACAUUUCUCCAAUUUGGGUUCGAGCUUAUCAGGUUGAAGUUUCUUCACAUAAGCAUCGCAACCCCAAACUUUAAGAAACGACAACUUUGGUUUCUUGCUAAACCUCAGUUCAUAAGGCGUCGUCUCAACGGAUUUUGAUGGUGCCCUAUUUAACGUGAAUGCAGCUGUCUCUAAUGCAUAACCCCAAAACUAUAGUGGUAGAUCGGUAAGAGACAUCAUAUAUCGCACCAUAUCUAAUAAAGUAUGGUUACGAUGUUCGGACACACCAUUACACUGUGGUGUUCCAGGUGGCGUGAGUAGUGAAACUAUUUCACAUUGUUUUAACUGAAGGCCAAACUCGUAACUCAAAUACUCUUCUCCACGAUCAAAUCGUAGAAACUUUAUUUUCUUGUUACGGUGAUUUUCCACUUCACUCUGAAAUUAUAUGAACUUUUCAAAUGUUUCAGACUUCUGUUUCAUUAAGUAGAUAUACCCAUAUCUGCUCAAAUCAUCUGUGAAGGUCAGAAAAUAAUGAUACCUGCUACGAGCCUCAAUAUUCAUCGGACCACAUACAUCUGUAUGUAUGAUUUCCAACAAAUCUGUUGCUCUCUCCAUAGUUCCGGAGAACGGCGUUUUUGUCAUCUUGCCCACGAGGCAUGGUUCGCAAGCAUCAAGUGAUUCAUAAUCAUGUGAUUCCAAAAUCCCAUCAGUAUGGAGUUUCUUCAUGCGCUUUACACCAAUAUGACCUAAACGGCAGUGCCACAAAUAAGUUGCACUAUCAUUAUUAACUUUGCAUCUUUUGGCUUCAUUAUUAUGAAUAUGUGUAUCACUACGAUCGAGAUCCAACAAAACCAUUUUUGUUGGUGUGUAUGACCAUAAAAGGUUUUUUUAUUCAUGUAAACAGAACAACAAUUGUUCUCUAACUUAAAUGAAUAACCGUAUUGCAAUAAACAUGAUCAAAUCAUAUUCAUGCUCAACGCAUACACCAAAUAACAUUUAUUUAGUUUCAACACUAAUCCCGAAAGUAUAGGGAGUGUGCGAUGAUGAUCAUAUCAAUCUUGGAACUACUUCCAACACACAUCGUCACCUCGCCUUUUACUAGUCUCUAUUUCUUCUGCAACUCCCGUUUCGAGUUACUACUCUUUAGCAACUGAACCAGUAUCAAUUACCAAGGGGUUGCUAUAAACACUAGUAAAGUACAUAUCAAUAAUCUGUAUAUCAAAUAUACCUUUGUUCACUUUUACUAGUCUCUGUUUAUUCUGCAACUCCCGUUUCGAGUUGCUACUCUUAGCAACUGAACCAGUAUCAAUUACCGAGGGGUUGCUAUAAACACUAGUAAAGUACACAUCAAUAAUCUGUAUAUCAAAUAUACCUUUGUUCACUUUGCCAUCCUUCUUAUCCACCAAAUAGUUGGGGUAAUUCCGCUUCCAGUGACCAGUCCCUUUGCAGUAGAAGCACUUAGUCUCAGGCUUAGGACCAGACUUAGGCUUCUUCACUUGAGCAGCAACUUGCUUGCCGUUCUUCUUGAAGUUCCCCUUCUUCCCUUUGCCCUUUUCUUGAAACUAGUGGUCUCGUCAACCAUCAACACUUGAUGUUUUUCUUGAUUUCUACCUUCGUCGAUUUCAGCAUCACGAAGAGCUCGGGAAUUACUUUCGUCAUCCCUUGCAUACUAUAGUUCAUCACGAAGUUCUACUAACUUUGGUGAUGGUGACUAGAGAAUUCUGUCAAUCACUAUUUUAUCUGGAAGAUUAACUCCCACUUGAUUCAAGCGAUUGUAGUACCCAGACAAUCUGAGCACAUGCUCACUAGUUGAGCGAUUCUCCUCCAUCUUUUAGCUAUAGAACUUGUUGGAGACUUCAUAUCUCUCAACUCGGGUAUUUGCUUGAAAUAUUAACUUCAACUCCUGGAACAUCUCAUAUGGUCCAUGACGUUCAAAACGUCUUUGAAGUCCCGAUUCUAAGCCGUUAAACAUGGUGCACUAAACUAUCAAGUAGUCAUCAUAUUGAGCUAGCCAAACGUUCAUAACGUCUGCAUCUGCUGCUGCAAUAUGUCUAUCACCUAGCGGUGCAUCAAGGACAUAAUUCUUCUGUGCAGCAAUGAGGAUAAUCCUCAGAUCACGGAUCCAAUCCGCAUCUUUGCUACUAACAUCUUUCAACAUAAUUUUCUCUAGGAACAUAUCAAAAAUAAAAUAGGGAAGCAACAACGCGAGCUAUUGAUCUACAACAUAAUUUGCAAAAUACUAUCAGGACUAAGUUCAUGAUAAAUUUAAGUUCAAUUAAUCAUAUUACUUAAGAACUCCCACUUAGAUAGACAUCCCUCUAAUCCUCUAAGUGAUCACUUGAUCCAUAUCAACUAAACCAUGUCCGAUCAUCACGUGAGAUGGAGUAGUUUCAACGGUGAACAUCACUAUGUUGAUCAUAUCUACUAUAUGAUUCACGCUCGACCUUUCGGUCUCCGUGUUCCGAGGCCAUAUCUAUUAUAUGCUAGGCUCGUCAAGUUUAACCUGAGUAUUCCGCGUGUGCAACUGUUUUGCACCCGUUGUAUUUGAACGUAGAGCCUAUCACACCCGAUCAUCACGUGGUAUCUCAGCACGAAGAACUUUCGCAACGGUGCAUACUCAGGGAGAACACUUAUACUUUGAUAAUUUAGUGAAGGAUCAUCUUAUAAUGCUACCGUCAAACAAAGCAAGAUAAGAUGCAUAAAGGAUUAACAUCACAUGCAAUCAAUAUAAGUGAUAUGACAUGGCCAUCAUCAUCUUGUGCUUGUGAUCUCCAUCUCCGAAGCACCGUGCUUGUGAUCUCCAUCUCCGAAGCACCGUCAUGAUCACCAUCGUCACCGGCGCGACACCUUGAUCUCCAUCGUAGCAUCGUUGUCGUCUCAUCAAUCUUAUGCUUCUACGACUAUCGCUACCGCUUAGUGAUAAAGUAAAGCAUUACAUGGCGAUUGCAUUGCAUACAAUAAAACGACAACCAUAUGGCUCCUGCCAGUUGCCGAUAACUUGGUUACAAAACAUGAUCAUGUCAUACAACAAAUUAUAUCACAUCAUGUCUUGACCAUAUCACAUCACAACAUGCCCUGCAAAAACAAGUUAGACGUCCUCUACUUUGUUGUUGCAAGUUUUACGUGGCUGCUACGGGCUUAGCAAGAACCGUUCUUACCUACGCAUCAAAACCACAACGAUAGUUUGUCAAGUUGGUGUUGUUUUAACCUUCGCAAGGACCGGGCGUAGCCACACUCGGUUCAACUAAAGUGAGAGAGACAGACACCCGCCAGUCACCUUUAAGCAACGAGUGCUCGCAACGGUGAAACCAGUCUCGCGUAAGCGUACGCGUAAUGUCGGUCCGGGCCGCUUCAUCUCACAAUACCGCUGAACCAAAAUAUGACAUGCUGGUAAGCAGUAUGACUUAUAUCGCCCACAACUCACUUGUGUUCUACUCGUGCAUAGCAUCAACGCAUAAAACCAGGCUCGGAUGCCACUGUUGGGGAACGUAGUAAUUUCAAAAAAAUUCCUACGCACACGCAAGAUCAUGGUGAUGCAUAGCAACGAGAGGGGAGAGUGUUGUCCACGUACCCUCGUAGACCGACAGCGGAAGCGUUAUCACAACGCGGUUGAUGUAGUCGUACGUCUUCACGAUCCGACCGAUCAAGUACCGAACGUACGGCACCUCCGAGUUCUACACAUGUUCAGCUCGAUGACGUCCCUCGAACUCCGAUCCAGCCGAGUGUUGAGGGAGAGUUUCGUCAGCACGACGGCGUGGUGACGAUGAUGAUGUUCCAGCGACGCAAAGCUUCGCCUAAGCUCCGCAAUGGUAUUAUCGAGGUGUAAUAUGGUGGAGGGGGGCACCGCACACGGCUAAGAGAUCUCAAGGAUCAAUUGUUGUGUCUCUGGGGUGCCCCUGCCCCCGUAUAUAAAGGAGCAAGGGAGGAGGAGGCCGGCCUUAGGAGGGGGCGCACCAAGUGUGGAGUCCUACUAGGACUCCCUAGUCCUAGUAGGAUUCCACCUCCCAUAUGGAAUAGGAAAAGAGGAAGGGAAAAAGAGAAGGAAGGAAGGGGGCGCCCCCCUUCCCUAGUCCAAUUCGGACCAGACCAAGGGGAGGGGUGCGGCCACCCUUGAGGCCCUUUUUCUUCUUUCCCGUAUGGCCCAAUAAGGCCCAAUACGUAUUCCCGUAACUCUCCGGUACUCCGAAAAAUACCCGAAUCACUCGGAAGCUUUCUGAAGUCCGAAUAUAGUCGUCCAAUAUAUCGAUCUUUACGUCUCGGCCAUUUCGAGACUCCUCGUCAUGUUCCCGAUCUCAUCCAGGACUCCGAACUCCUUCGGUACAUCAAAACUCAAUAAAACUGUCAUCGUAACGUUAAGCGUGCGGACCCUACGGGUUCGAGAACUAUGUAGACAUGACCGAGACACGUCUCCGGUCAAUAACCAAUAGCGGGACCUGGAUGCCCAUAUUGGCUCCCACAUAUUCUACGAAGAUCUUUAUCGGUCAGACCGCAUAACAACAUACGUUGUUCUCUUUGUCACCGGUAUGUUACUUGCCCGAGAUUUGAUCGUCGGUAUCUCGAUACCUAGUUCAAUCUCGUUACCGGCAAGUCUCUUUACUCGUUCCGUAACACAUCAUCCCGCAACUAACUUAUUAGUCACAAUGCUUGCAAGGCUUAUAGUGAUGUGCAUUACCGAGUGGGCCCAGAGAUACCUCUCCGACAAUUGGAGUGACAAAUCCUAAUCUCGAAAUACGCUAACCCAACAAGUACCUUUGGAGACACCUGUAGAGCACCUUUAUAAUCACCCAUUUACGUUGUGACGUUUGGUAGCACACAAAGUGUUCCUCCGGUAAACGGGAGUUGCAUAAUCUCAUAGUCAUAGGAACAUGUAUAAGUCAUGAAGAAAGCAAUAACAACAUACUAAACGAUCGAGUGCUUAGCUAACGGAAUGGGUCAAGUCAAUCACGUCAUUCUCCUAAUGAGGUGAUCUCGUUAAUCAAAUGACAACUUAUGUCUAUGGCUAGGAAACAUAACCAUCUUUGAUUAACGAGCUAGUCAAGUAGAGGCAUACUAGUGACACUCUGUUUGUUUAUGUAUUCACACAUGUAUCAUGUUUCCGGUUAAUACAAUUCUAGCAUGAAUAAUAAACAUUUAUCAUGAUAUAAGGAAAUAAAUAAUAACUUUAUUAUUGCCUCUAGGGCAUAUUUCCUUCACUUAUUACUUCCCAAUGCCUUCCUCUAGGCCCAAACAAUGGUGAAGUGUCAUGUAGUCGAUGUUCACAUGACACCACUAGAGGAGAGACAACAUACAUCUCAUCAAAAUAUCGAACGAAUACCAAAUUCACAUGACUACUUAUAACAAGACUUAUCCCAUGUCCUCAGGAACAAACGUAACUACUCACAAAGCAUAUUCAUGUUCAUGAUCAGAGGGGUAUUAAUAUGCAUAAUGGAUCUGAACAUAUGAUCUUCCACCAAAUAAACCAACUAGCAUCAACUACAAGGAGUAAUCAACACUACUAGCAACCUAUAGGUACCAAUCUCAGGCUAUGAGACAAAGAUUGGAUACAAGAGAUGAACUAGGGUUUGAGAGGAUAUGGUGCUGGUGAAGAUGUUGAUGAAGAGGGACCCCCUCCCGAUGAGAGGAUCGUUGGUGAUGACGAUGGCGAUGAUUUCCCCCUCUCGAAGGGAAGUUUCCCCGGCAGAACAACUCCGCCGGAGCCCUAGAUUGGUUCCGCCUCGUGGCGGCGGAGUCUCGUCCUGAAAGCUUGUUUAUUAUUUUUUCUCGGACCAAAGACUUCAUAUAGCAGAAGAUGGGCACCGGAGGGUCACCAGGGGCCCACGAGGUAGGGGGCGCGCCCCCCACCCUCGUGGCCAGGGUGUGGGCCCCCUCUGGUAUUUUCUUCGCUCAGUAUUUUUUAUAAAUCCCAAAAAUGACUUCCGUGGAGUUUCAGGAUGUAGCGACCCGACCUCAAACGGUCAAGCCUCUGUGCUUCCGUGUCAUCCCUGGAUCGGUAAUGCUGACACACACAGUACUCGAAAGAUUUAUAACAGAGUAGCAAUCACACACUUAUUACAUCGAAUGUCUCAAAAGAGAACUUAUUACAAUAAAUAUGGCAUAAGGCCAUCUAGUACAAUAACAGUGGAAGGCUUGGAAGAUAAAGUGAGUCCAUCAAGUCCAACGUCAUAGCUGAGCUGCAGGGCAACGACCUAAUGAACCUUACUCCUCAUCUGAAAAGUCUGCAACAUAAUAUGUUGCAGCCCGAAAACGGGUCAGCACAUGGAAUAUGCUGGCAAUAUAACACAGUAGAGCAAGAACAGAAUAAUGCUAUCACUAUAUUCAUAUUUGGCUGGUGGAAAAGCUCUAUGGUUAUAGUUUUGCGAAAAGCCAAUUUUUUCCUAAAACAAAGGAAUAAGUUUUAUUUUAACUAUCAUGGUAGUUGAAACAUCAUUGAGAAGGUUCCUCCAACUCAGUCCCAAUUAAAAGUAAUUAUCAACCCAACAAUAUUAAAUUAGAGUGAUGAGAUACUUAUGAUAAUCCAAGUACUAGAUACUCAAGAUGUCCAUAACCGGGGACACGGCUAACCAUGAUUAGAUUGUACACUCUGCAGAGGUUUGCGCACUUUUCCCCACAAGACUCGAUCGCCUCCGUUGGAUUUCUCGCACUACAUGGUGUUUGAGAAACGGAUGACCGAGACACGGUAUUUCAGAAGCAUUCACUCUAACCCCGGGUAGACAGUACCAACCUACAUCCCUCUACAUCUGCUAGCCUACCACUUGAAGAGGUCAUGCAACGUACUCAACUAUGCUAGAGCCCAUAAUAGCUUGUGGCUACACACGGAAUUUUCUAGCAUGAAAUAUCUCAGUUCCCUUUGAGCCUGGGUGGCGAACCUUAGGAUUAUCACACGGGUACUCCGGGAUAUCCUAGGACAACACUGGAUUCUCCAGGUGCCCGACAAGCAAUCCACCCAGAUGUGUAUUAAAGUAGCCACCUUAAGUUGAACCAUUAAUUAACCAUCUCACAUCUGUCAUGGAUUCACUCACCCAAACCACGUCUACGAGCAUAGCAUAGCAAUAUAAGCAAUACGUAGAAGUAACUCCCAAGGGUUUGAUAAUAACAGAGCAAUAGGUUCUACCUCAUCAACUACUUCCCAAUACCCACAAGUUAAUCACCUCCUAAUCAUGCAGUGUUUGAGGAUUGGAGCUAAUGGAUAAAAACUGGGUAUUAAAAGAGUAUGAUCAAUGUGUUACUUGCCUUGUUGACGAUCCGCAAAACCUAGGGACUCGUAGUAGCACGCUUCAGCACUCCGGGAAUUCUAUCGCAAACAAACAAAAGCAUACAUAAGCAAUCAAUCAUGGAUGCACGGGUAAAACUCAAAUAAGAAGAACUAACCAGAAAGUUCAACUUAAGAACUCCGGUUUGCAAAAAGAAUCAAAUCAAACGGAGCAACGAAACUCAAACUGCGAAAGAAACAAGAUUUGUUUACUAAUCUGGAAUAAAGUCAAAUUUUACUAUACCAAAAUCUUGUUCAAGUUGGUUAAACAGAAAGAGGGUUUCGAGACGAAGAUCUAGGCGCUUGAAUCGCCUGAUUCCGAUAAACGAGCGAAAAGAUAAACAAAAACAAAAAUCGGAUGAGAAAUCGCGAUCGAAAAUAAUCGUGAAAAACCCGGGAAAAAGAAAAAACGAACGAUUAGGCUAACGAACGAGCGUUUAUUGUCUGUGACUAGCGGGCGAAAACCGUUCAUUAAAACGAACGUACGGACGAACGUCCACUAAAUAAACUAAACCGAGAAAACCAACGAACCGGUCUAAAAACAUAACUAGGGUUAAAAAACCGACGGUUUUUACCUAAACUGAAAAGAACCAGGCGGCGAGAUUUGCGAACUCCGACGCGGCUCCGGCGGCUUCUGGCAAGCGGGGCGGCGGCGCGGGCGACNNNNNNNNNNNNNNNNNNNNNNNNNNNNNNNNNNNNNNNNNNNNNNNNNNNNNNNNNNNNNNNNNNNNNNNNNNNNNNNNNNNNNNNNNNNNNNNNNNNNNNNNNNNNNNNNNNNNNNNNNNNNNNNNNNNNNNNNNNNNNNNNNNNNNNNNNNNNNNNNNNNNNNNNNNNNNNNNNNNNNNNNNNNNNNNNNNNNNNNNNNNNNNNNNNNNNNNNNNNNNNNNNNNNNNNNNNNNNNNNNNNNNNNNUCGGCUGGGCCUUGGCCCAGUCGGGCGCGGAAGUUAAAAAAAAACAGAUUCCGCCGAAAAGAAAUCCUAGAAAAAUAAAUAAAAAUCUAAAAAUACCAAAACAAAUUUUCACCGUCUGAAUAAAAUAUUUAGAACAAGAUGAACAUUUGUUUGGCCUAAAAUGCAAUUUUUUAAAAAGUCAUAUUUUUUCCAAUGCAAAUAAAAUAGCAAUAAAAUCUGAAUAAAAUCAAAUAUUUGAUUUUAAUAUUUUUCCUCCAAUAUUUCAUUUAUUUUGGAGAAGUCAUAUUAUCUCCUCUCAUAUAUUUUAAUAUGAAAUAUUUUCGGAGAGAAAAAUAAUUAAAACAAAUAAUCCUCGUUUCGAUAUUUGAUAAAAUUCAAAUAGAAAACAGUGAAAUCCCCAACUCUCUCCGAGGGUCCUUGAGUUGCUUAGAAUUUCGAGGAUCGCGAAACGAAAUGCAACAAAAAUAUGAUAUGCAUGAAUGAUCUAUGUAUAACAUUCCAAAUUGAAAAUUUGGGAUGUUACAAACUUCCCCCCCUUAAGAUGAAUCUCGCCCUCAAGAUUCGGGUUGGCUAGAAAAUAGGUGUGGGUGGUCUUUGCGAAGAUCAUCCUCUCGUUCCCAGGUGGCUUCAUCCUCGGAUGGUGGCUCCACUGAACUUUGCAAAACUUGAUAACCUUGCUGCGGGUGACUCGGCUGGCAAAUUCAAGAAUCCUGACUGGCUUCUCCUCAUAGGUCAGAUCACUCUCCAACAUAAUCGCUUCCAAGGGCACUGUAUCUCUUAGUGGUAUAUCGGCCAUCUCAGCAUGACACUUCUUCAACUGUGAAACAUGAAACACAUCAUGAACUCCUGACAGUCCUUCAGGUAACUCCAACUUGUAGGCAACCUCUCCCAUGCGUUCCAAAACACGAUACGGUCCCACAAAUCUCGGGGCUAACUUUCCCUUAACUCCAAAACGUUUCACUCUCGCAGAGGUGACACUCGCAGAUAUGCUCUGUCUCCAAUUUCAUAGCUUACUUCCUUGCGUUUCGAAUCUGCAUAACUCUUCUGCCUGGACUGAGCUACCUUCAGUCUAUCUCGGAUCAACUUAACCUUCUCUUCAGACUCCUUGAUCAAAUCUGGUCCAAACAACUGUCGGUCUCCAACUUCAUCCCACAUCAACGGUGUUCUGCACUUUCGUCCAUACAGGGCUUCGAACAGUGCCAUCUUCAAACUGGCUUGAUAGCUAUUGUUGUAUGAGAACUCCGCGUAGGGCAAAUUGUCAUCCCAACUAGAUCCAUAAUCUAGUGCACAAGCUCUCAACAUAUCCUCCAGAAUCCAGUUGACUCUCUCGGUUUGUCCAUUUGUCUGCGGAUGGAAUGCUAUACUGAACUCUAGCCUUGUACCGAAAGUCUGGUGCAGCUGAUGCCAAAACUUUGAGGUAAACUGUGUUCCUCUAUCUGAUACGAUGGUCCUUGGAACUCCAUGCAGACAUACGAUCCUGGUCAUGUAUAUCUUGGCGAACUUCGCACUUGUAUAGGUGGUUUUCACUAGGAUAAAGUGAGCUACUUUGGGCAAGCGAUCAACUACUACCCAUAUAGAAUCAUAUCCUGAUUUGGUCCUGGGCAAUCCGGUGAUGAAAUCCAUGCCAAGCUUAUCCCACUUCCAUUCGGGUAUCGGCAUAGGCUGUAACAAUCCUGCUGGAUUUUGAUGUUCCGCCUUCACUCUCUGACAUACAUCACAUACGGCUACAUACUCGGCAAUAUCCUUCUUCAUACCAGUCCACCAGAAAUGUUUCUUCAAAUCCAAAUACAUCUUGGUGUUUCCGGGGUGUAUCGAGCAUGGUGAGUCAUGAGCCUCCUGAAGUAUUAACUUCCCGAUCUCUGUGUUAUUGGGCACAUAAACAUAGUCCUCAAACCAUAAGGUGCCGUGCUCGUCCUCACGAAAACCUUUGGCCUUUCCUUUGCUCAUUCUCUCUUUUAUCUCGGCAAUCUUUUUGUCAUCCUUCUGAGCUUCUCGAAUCUUUCCUAACAAUGUAGACUGAACUUCCAUUGUUGCAACAAAACCUCUAGGAACAAUCUCCAAUCGAAGUUCCCUGAGAUCCUCUGCUAACUCCUUUGGCAAUCUUGUGCUUACGAGGGUGUUAGCAUAACUCUUCUGGCUCAAAGCGUCUGCUACGACAUUGGCCUUGCCUAGAUGAUAGUGAAGCUUCAUGUCAUAGUCCUUUAUAAGCUCCAACCAUCUCCUCUGCCUAAGGUUCAGCUCCUUCUGUGUGAAAAUGUACUUCAAACUCUUAUGAUCGGUGUACACAUCACAACGGUUUCCAAUAAGGUAAUGUCUCCAAGUCUUGAGCGCAUGCACUACAGCUGCUAACUCCAAAUCAUGCGUGGCAUAAUUCAAUUCGUGCGGUUUUAGUUGUCGUGAGGCAUACGAAACAACUCUUCUGUCCUGCAUAAGCACACUUCCAAGUCCUAAGCGAGAGGCGUCGCAAUACACUCGGAAAUCCUUGCGUAUAUCUGGCAGAAUCAGCAGUGGGGCUGUAGUCAGACAUUUCUUUAACUCCUAAAAACUCGCCUCACAUUCCUCCGUCCAUUUAAAUUUGGUAUCCUUCUUCAAUAACUCCGUCAUUGGCUUCGCAAUCUUGGAAAAAUUCUCAAUGAAUCUCCAAUAGUAUCCUGCGAGUCCAAGAAAACUGCGGAUCUCGCUAACUGAAGUGGGUGCCAACCAUUCAGUGACUGACUGAACCUUGGUGGGGUCUACUACUAUACCUUCUCCUGAUAUAACAUGUCCAAGGAAUCCAACUUCCUUGAACCAAAACUCACAUUUGCUGAACUUGGCAUACAACUGAUGUUCCCUGAGUUUCUCGAGAACUAAACGCAAAUGCUCUUUGUGCUCCUCUUCAUUCUUCGAGUAUACCAUUAUAUCAUCAAUGAACACCACAACAAACUUAUCCAAAUAUUCCAUGAAAACCUUGUUUAUCAUGCUCAUGAAGUAGGCAGGGGCGUUAGUCAGUCCAAAUGACAUGACUGUAUAUUCAUACAACCCGUACCUUGUGGUGAAUGCUGUCUUUGGUAUAUCCUUCUCUCGAAUUUUCAGCUGGUGAUAUCCUGAUCAUAGAUCGAUCUUCGAAAACACUUUAGCUCCUUGCAGCUGGUCAAACAAAUCAUUGAUCAUCGGCAAAGGGUAUUUGUUCUUGAUCGUCACCUCAUUCAAUGCCCGAUAAUCAACAACCAUCCUCAAUGAUCCAUCCUUCUUCUCAACCGAUAGCACUGGGGCUCCCCACGGUGAUGAACUUCGUCGAAUGUAACCUUUUUCCAAUAACUCCUUGAUCUGCUUCUUAAUCUCCUCCAGAUCAUUUGCGGGCAUCCGGUAUGGUCUCUUUGAUAUAGGCCCGGUGCCUGCCAACAGUUCUAUCAAAAACUCGAUGUCCCGAUCUGGCGGCAUGCCUGGUAAUUCCUCUGGGAAUACAUCUAGGUAAUCCUUUACGACAGGCACUUCCUCCUGAACAACUCCUGAGAGGGAAUUUACUUGGCUCCUACUAGGCGCGUGCCUAGAUACAUACUUGAUCCUUUUUCCCUCCGGGGUGGUGAGAUAAAUCGACUUACUAGCACAGUCAAUGCUUCCUCCAUACUUUGACAUCCAGUCCAUGCCUAAUAUCACAUCCAAUCCUUGUGACUCCAAAAUUAUUAGGUCGGACGGGAAAACAUGGCUACCAAUGGUUAAGGGUAUCCGGUCGCACCAUCAGUUAGCCAUAUACUCUGCUCCAGGUGAACUUACUAACAGAGGGGUCCUAAGGGUUUGGGUUGGUAGUUUAAACUUAUCCACGAAUCCCCUUGAUAUGUAUGAAUGCGAUGCACUAGUAUCAAAAAGAACAAGGGCGGUAAAAGACUUAACCAAAAACUUACCGAUAACCGCGUCUGGCUGCUCUUCAACCUCCUCCACGUUAACGUGGUUCACUUGUCCUUUGUUGAAUGGAUUGGGCUUCUUCCCAGUGCUCCCAUUACCGUUUCCAUUCUUCGCUUCAGGGUACUCCGUGGCAUAGUGUCCAGUCUUCCCGCACUUGAAGCAAGUAAUGUGACUUAGGUCUCUCUUGGCGGGUGUGGCUGGAUUGGAGUGGUUCUGAUUGUUGCUUGUUCCGUUCCCAGUCCUAUUCUUGGAACUAUUGUGGUUAUCCGAACUUCCUCCGUUGUGGUUUUGACCUCCAUGGUUAUGAACAAGUCCUCCCGAGUUCGGGGUUAGACGAGGCUUCUGCUGAGCUCCAGAAUUGUAUCUUCCUUGUCCAUACUUCCUCUUACGAAUCUCAAUCUGCUGCUGCUUCCCUUCAAUCAUAAGAGCCUUAUCUACCAAUUCCUGGUAGUUGUUGAAUGUUGCCACCAUCCACUGCAUGCUCAUCUCAUCGUUCAACCCUUCCAUAAACUUCUCCUGCUUCGCGGCAUCUGUGGCCACAUCAUCAGGGGCAUAACGAGAUAACUUGCUAAACUCAUCCACGUACUGAGCUAUAGUACGGUUCCCCUGGCGUAAGUUGCAAAAUUCACGCUUCUUCAUAUUCAUAGCUCCAGUUGAGACAUGGGCUGUGCGGAAAGCUUGCUGAAACUGAUCCCAAGUGACGUUGGCUAUGGGGAAAGUGGCCGUAUAAUUCUCCCACCAUGAGGCUGCUGGUCCAUCCAAUUGAUGUGCGGCAAAGCGCACUGAUGUCUACUACACAACCUUCUUCUUGUAGACGUUGUUGGGCCUCCAAGUGCAGAGGUUUGUAGGACAGUAGCAAAUUUCCCUCAAGUGGAUGACCUAAGGUUUAUCAAUCCGUGGGAGGAGUAGGAUGAAGAUGGUCUCUCUCAAGCAACCCUGCAACCAAAUAACAAAGAGUCUCUUGUGUCCCCAACACACCCAAUACAAUGGUAAAUUGUAUAGGUGCACUAGUUCGGCGAAGAGAUGGUGAUACAAGUGCAAUAUAGAUGGUAGAUAUAGGUUUUUGUAAUCUAAAAAUAUAAAAACAGCAAGGUAACUAAUAAUAAAAGUGAGCACGAACGCUAUUGCAAUGCUAGGAAACAAGGCCUAGGGUUCAUACUUUCACUAGUGCAAGUUCUCUCAAGAAUAAUAACAUAAUUGGACCAUAUAACUAUCCCUCAACAUGCAACAAAGAGUCACUCCAAGUCACUAAUAGCGGAGAACAAACAAAGAGAUUAUGGUAGGGUACGAAACCACCUCAAAGUUAUUCUUUCCGAUCAAUCCAUUGGGCUAUUCCUAUAAGUGUCACAAACAGCCCUAGAGUUCGUAGUAAAAUAACACCUUAAGACACACAUCAACCAAAACCCUAAUGUCACCUAGAUACUCCAAUGUCACCUCAAGUAUCCGUGGGAAUGAUUAUACGAUAUGCAUCACACAAUCUCAGAUUCAUCUAUUCAACCAACACAUAGAACCUCAAAGAGUGCCCCAAAGUUUCUACCGGAGAGUCAAGAUGAAAACGUGUGCCAACCCCUAUGCAUAGGUUCAUGGGCGGAACCCGCAAGUUGAUCACCAAAACAUACAUCAAGUGGAUCAAUAGAAUACCCCAUUGUCACCACGGGUAUCCCGCGCAAGACAUACAUCAAGUGUUCUCAAAUCAUUAAAAGACUCAAUCCGAUAAGAUAACUUCAAAGGGGAAACUCAAUCCAUUACAAGAGAGUAGAGGGGGAGAAACAUCAUAAGAUCCAACUACAAUAGCAAAGCUCGCGAUACAUCAAGAUCGUAUCACCUCAAGAACACGAGAGAGACAGAUCAAACACAUAGCUACUGGUACAUACCCUCAGCCCCGAGGGUGAACUACUCCCUCCUCGUCAUGGAGAGCGUCGGGAUGAUGAAGAUGGCCACCGGUGAGGGUUCCCCCCCUCCGGCAGGGUGCCGUAAUAGGGUCCCGAUUGGUUUUUGGUGGCUACAGAGGCUUGCGGCGGCGGAACUCCCGAUCUAUUCUGUUCCCCGAAGGUUUUAGGGUAUAUUGGUAUAUAUAGGAGGAAGAAAUACGUCAGGGGAGCCACGAGGGGCCCACGAGGGUGGAGGGCGCGCCCAGGGGGGUGGGUGCGUCCCCCUGCCUCGUGCCUUCCUCGUUGAUCCCCUGACGUGCACUCCAAGUCUCCCGGAUUGCUUUCUUUCCAAAAAUAACUUUCCCGAAGGUUUCAUUCUGUUUGGACUCCGUUUGAUAUUCCUUUUCUUCGAAACACUGAAACAAGGGAAAAAACAGAAACUGGCACUGGGCUCUGGGUCAAUAGGUUAGUCCCAAAAGUAAUAUAAAAGUGCAUAAUAAAGCCCAUAAACAUCCAAGACGGAUAAUAUAAUAGCAUGGAACAAUCAAAAAUUAUAGAUACGUUGGAGACGUAUCAGCAUCCCCAAGCUUAAUUCCUGCUCGUCCUCGAGUAGGUAAAUUAUAAAAACAAUUUUUUUGAUGUGGAAUGCUACUUGGCAUAAUUUCAAUGUAAUUCUUCUUAAUUGUGGUAUGAAUAUUCAGAUCCGAAAGAUUCAAGAUAAAAGUUCAUAUUGACAUAAAAAUAAUAAUACUUCAAGCAUACUAACUAAGCAAUUAUGUCCUCUCAAAAUAACAUGGCCAAAGAAAGUUCAUCCCUACAAAAUCAUAUAGUUCAGUCAUGCUCCAUUUCCGUCACACAAGAAUGCUCUCAUCAUGCACAACCCCGAUGACAAGCCAAGCAAUUGUUUCAUACUUUAGUAAUCUCAAACUUUUUCAACCUUCACGCAAUACAUGAGCGUGAGCCAUGGAUAUAGCACUAUGGGUGGAAUAUAAUAUAAUGAUGGGGGUUAUGUGGAGAAGACAAAAAAGGAGAAAGUCCCACAUCAACGCGGCUAAUCAAUGAGCUAUGGAGAUGCCCAUCGAUUGAUGUUAAUGCAAGGAGUAGGGAUUGCCAUGCAACGGAUGCACUAGAGCUAUACAUGUAUGAAAGCUCAACCAAAGAAACUAAGUGGGUGUGCAUCCAACUUGCUUGCUCACGAAGACCUAGGGCAUUUGAGGAAGCCCAUUGUUGGAAUAUACAAGCCAAGUUCUAUAAUGAAAAAUUCCCACUAGUAUAUGAAAGUGACAAAACAAGAGACUCUCUAUCAUGAAGAUUAUGGUGCUACUUUGAAGCACAAGUGUGGUAAAAAGGAUAGUAACAUUGUCCCUUCUCUCUUUUUCUCUCAUUUUUUUGGGCCUCCCCUUUUUAUGGCAUUUCUCUCUUUUUUUUUUCCUCACUUGGGACAAUGCUCUAGAAAAUGAUGAUCAUCACACUUCUAUUUAUUUACAACUCAAUGAUUACAACUCGAUACUAGAACAAAGUAUGACUCUCUAUGAAUGCCUCCGGCGGUGUACCGGGAUAUGCAAUGAACCAAGAGUGACAUGUAUGAAAGAAUUAUGAAUGGUGGCUUUGCCACAAAUACUAUGUCAACUACAUGAUCAUGCAAAGCAGCAUGACAAUGAUGAACGUGUCAUGAUAAAUGGAAUGGUGGAAAGUUGCAUGGCAAUAUAUCUCGGAAUGGCUAUGUAAAUGCCAUAAUAGGUAGGUAUGGUGGCUGUUUUGAGGAAGAUAUAAGGAGGUUUAUGUGUGAAAGAGCGUAUCAUAUCACGGGGUUUGGAUGCACCGGCGAAGUUUGCACCAACUCUCAAUGUGAGAAAGGGCAAUGCACGGUACCGAAGAGGCUAGCAAUGAUGGAAGGGUAAUAGUGCGUAUAAUCCAUGGACUCAACAUUAGUCAUAAAGAACUCACAUACUUAUUGCAAAAAUCUACAAGUCAUCAAAAACCAAGCAUUACGCGCAUGCUCCUAGGGGGAUAGAUUGGUAGGAAAAGACCAUCGCUCGUCCCCGACCGCCACUCAUAAGGAGGACACUCAAAGAACACCUCAUGUUUCAAAUUUAUUACAUAACGUUUAACAUACGUGCAUGCUACGGGACUUGCAAACUUCAACACAAGUAUUUCUCAAAUUCACAACUACUCAACUAGCACAACUUUAAUAUCACUACCUCCAUAUCUCAAAACAAUCAUCAAGCAUCAAACUUCUCUUAGUAUUCAACACACUCAUAAGAAAGUUUUUACUAGUCUUGAAUACCUAGUAUAUUAGGAUUAAGAAAAUUACCAUGUUGUUUAAGACUCUCAAAAUAAUAUAAGUUAAGCAUGAGAGUUCAUCUAUUUCUUCAAAAUAAAACCACCAUUGUGCUCUAAAAGAUAUAAGUGAAGCACUAGAGCAAACGACAGACUACCCCGAAAGAUAUAAGUGAAGAUCAAUGAGUAGUCGAAUAAUUAUGCAACUAUGAAGACUCUCCCAUUUAAUAAUUUCAGAUCUUGGUACUUUAUUCAAACAGCAAGCAAAGCUAAAAAAAAAUAAAAUGACGCUCCAAGCAAAACACAUAUCAUGUGGUGAAUAAAAAUAUAGCUCCAAGUAAAGUUACCGAUGAAUGAAGACGAAAGAGGGGAUGCCUUCCGGGGCAUCCCCAAGCUUAGGCUCUUGGGUAUCCUUGAAUAUUACCUUGGGGUGCCUUGGGCAUCCCCAAGCUUAGGCUCUUGCCACUCCUUAUUCCAUAGUCCAUCGAAUCUUUACCCAAAACUUGAAAACUUCAGAACACAAAACUUAACAGAAAACUCGUAAGCUCCGUUGACGAAAGAAAACAAAACACCACUUCAAGGUACUGUAAUGAACUCAUUCAUUAUUUAUAUUGGUGUUAAACCUACUUUAUUCCAACUUCUCUAUGGUUUGUAAACUAUUUUACUAGCCAUAGAUUCAUCAAAAUAAGCAAACAACACACGAAAAACAGAAUCUGUCAAAAACAGAACAGUCUGUAGUAAUCUGUAACUAACGCAAACUUCUGGAACGCCAAAAAUUCUACCAAAAUAGGAAGACCUAGAUAAUUUGAUUAUUGAUCUUCUGAAAUUGGAAUCAGUAUUUUAUCACUUUCUGGUGAUUUUUAACAAUUGUUUUUGUGAGCAGAAAGUUUCUGUCUUUUUCAGCAAGAUCAAAUAAUUAUCAUCCAAGAAGAUCCUAUAGGUCUUACUUGGCACAAACACUAAUUAAAACAUAAAAACAAAUAUAAACAGAAUCUAGAUGGAUUAUUUAUUACUAAACAGAACCAAAAAGCAAGAAACUAAAAGAAAAUUGGGUUGCCUCCCAACAAGCGCUAACGUUUAACGCCCCUAGCUAGGCAUGAUGAUUUCAACGAUGCUCACAUAAGAGAUAGGAAUUGAAACAUAAAGAUAGCAUCAUGAAGAAUAUGACUAGUACAUUUAAGUCUAACCCACUUCCUAUGCAUAGGGAUUUUGUGAGCAAACAACUUAUGGGAACAAGAAUCAACUUGCAUAGGAAGGCAAAACAAGCAUAACUUCAAAACUUUAAGCACAUAGAGAGGAAACUUGAUAUUAUUGCAAUUCCUACAAGCAUAUGUUACUCCCUCAUAAUAGUUUUCAGUAGCAUCAUGAAUGAAUUCAACAGUAUAACCAGCACCUAAAGCAUUCUUUUCAUGAUCUACUUGCAUAAAAAAUUUAUUACUCUCCACAUAAGCAAAAUUCUUCUCAUUCGGAAUAGUGGGAGUAUCAUAAGAGACUUGAAUACUAUAAAUUGUUUCCACAUUAAAAGAGUAAUGUUCAGAAAAAAGGUAAUCAUAAUCAUGACAAGUUUUAUAAAUAUAAUCAUUACUACUCUUUAUAGCAUAAGUUUCAUCACAAUAAUCAUCAUAAGUAGCAACUUUGUUCUCAUCAUAAUCAAUAGUGGACUCAUCACUAAAUAAAGUCAUGACCUCUCCAAAUCCACUUUCAUAAUUAUCAUAAUAAGAUUCAACAUCCUCCAAAAUAGUGGGAUCAUUACUUCCUAAAGUUUACACUCUUCCAAACCCACUUUUAUCAAUAUAAUCAUCAUAAGUAGGAGGCAUGCUAUCAUCAUUAUAAAUUUGCAUAUCAAAACUUGGGAGACUAAAAAUAUCAUCCUCAUUAAACUUAGCAUCCCCAAGCUUGGGACAAACAUUAAUUGCAGAAAAUAUAUUCUCAAAAGCAUCAUAAUCAUCAAACAUAGCAUCCCCAAGCUUGGGCCUUUUCAUAUCAUAAGCAUAAUCACUCUCAUCAUUAAUAGUAUGGAUAGCACCAAUAGUAUAGCAAUUAUCAUAUUCUUCCAAGCAAGUGCCAAAAAGAUUUUCAAGAUCAUAAGGAGUAUCAUUAUCUUCCCAAUCAUAAUCAUCACAACAAGCAAUAGGCAUAAUGAGAUCAUCAUCAAGUGCAUCAUCUUCCACAAUUAUUUUUGAUUCAUUUUCAUGAGGCACAACAAUAAUAGGAGCAACAUUAUUUAGGAGAGAUAUCUUUUUACCUCUCUUCCUUUUUCUUUUCUUCUUCUUCACCACAUCAUGUGUGGGUUCAAUCCUCUUUUUGGAGCCCCUUAUUAAUGAGAUUGGUUGAAUAGAAGGCUCCUCCUCAUUACCUGAUUCAUCAUAAGAAAUAAUAGGAGAAUAUUGGGAAGUCUCUUCCCUUUCGUUAGUAUUCUCUUCAUCUUCUAUUUGUUUUCUUUUCUUUAUGUAAUUGGCAAUAUAAGGAUUUUCGAUGCAAUUCACCGCACAAUACAUAUAAAUUUCUUCUAGAUCAAUAUAGAGGAAUUUCUCAAGGUUAUAUUCUGGAAUAUGCUUAGUUUGACAUUUCAUUUCUUCAUAACCCAAAAGCAAACUAAGUUCAUUAUGAUGUGCAAGGGAAAUCAAAUCAUCACAAUUUUUGGACACGAUUCGAUCAUGAAACAAUUUGCAUUUGAUAUUUAAAUGACCAUGUUCAUUGCAAAGUUCACAAGUACGGUAAAGAUAUUUUAAAUUUUCAGCACUCACAUUUAGCCUUUUCUUGCAACCAUUUAGUUUCUAAAUGCUUAUGCCUCUUGCAAUAUCUAUCUUCCCUAUUUGGUAUGUAGUUGCAAACCCAAUGCACUCCACAAAUAUUGACAUGUUUAUAGGAGACAUUUUCAUCAUAACUAGUGAAAUUAUCAUUAGUACUAUGGAUAUUCAAAGAGUUCAUACUAACAACAUUGCAAUCAUGCUCAUCAUUCAAAGAUUUAGUGCCAAACAUUUUAAUGCAUUCUUCUUCUAACACUUUGGCACAAUUUUCCUUUCCAUCAUACUCACGAAAGAUAUUAAAAAGAUGAAGCGUAUGUGGUAAACUCAAUUCCAUUUUUUUGUAGUUUUCUUUUAUAGACUAAACUAGUGAUAAAACAAGAAACAAAAAGAUUCGAUUGCAAGAUCUAACGAUAUACCUUCAAGCACUCACCUCCCCGGCAACGGCGCCAGAAACUGCUUGAUGUCUACUACACAACCUUCUUCUUGUAGACGUUGUUGGGCCUCCAAGUGCAGAGGUUUGUAGGACAGUAGCAAAUUUCCCUCAAGUGGAUGACCUAAGGUUUAUCAAUCCAUGGGAGGCGUAGGAUGAAGAUGGUCUCUCUCAAGCAACCCUGCAACCAAAUAACAAAGAGUCUCUUGUGUCCCCAACACACCAAAUACAAUGGUAAAUUGCAUAGGUGCACUAGUUCGGCGAAGAGAUGGUGAUACAAGUGCAAUAUAGAUGGCAGAUAUAGGUUUUUGUAAUCUGAAAAUAUAAAAACAACAAGGUAACUAAUAAUAAAAGUGAGCACGAACAAUAUUGCAAUGCUAGGAAACAAGGCCUAGGGUUCAUACUUUCACUAGUGCAAGUUCUCUCAACAAUAAUAACAUAAUUGGAUCAUAUAACUAUCCCUCAACAUGCAACAAAGAGUCAUUCCAAAGUCACUAAUAGCGGAGAACAAACGAAGAGAUUAUGGUAGGGUACGAAACCACCUCAAAGUUAUUCUUUCUGAUCAAUCCAUUGGGCUAUUCCUAUAAGUGUCACAAACAGCCCUAGAGUUCGUAGUAAAAUAACACCUUAAGACACACAUCAACCAAAACCCUAAUGUCACCUAGAUACCCCAAUGUCACCUCAAGUAUCCGUGGGAAUGAUUAUACGAUAUGCAUCACACAAUCUCAGAUUCAUCUAUUCAACCAACACAUAGAACCUCAAAGAGUGCCCCAAAGUUUCUACCAGAGAGUCAAGACGAAAACGUGUGGCAACCCCUAUGCAUUGGUUCAUGGGCGGAACCCGCAAGUUGAUCACCAAAACAUACAUCAAGUGGAUCAAAAGAAUACCCCAUUGUCACCACGGGUAUCCCACGCAAGACAUACAUCAAGUGUUCUCAAAUCAUUAAAAGACUCAAUCCGAUAAGAUAACUUCAAAGGGGAAACUCAAUCCAUUACAAGAGAGUAGAGGGGGAGAAACAUCAUAAGAUCCAACUACAAUAGCAAAGCUCGCGAUACAUCAAGAUCGUAUCACCUCAAGAACACGAGAGAGAGAGGGAGACCAAACACAUAGCUACUGGUACAUACCCUCAGUCCCGAGGGUGAACUACUCCCUCCUCAUCAUGGAGAGCGCCGGGAUGAUGAAGAUGGCCACCGGUGAGGGUUCCCCCCUCCAGCAGGGUGCCGGAAUAGGGUCCCGAUUGGUUUUUGGUGGCUACAGAGGCUUGCGGCGGCGGAACUCCCGAUCUAUUCUGUUCCCCGAAGGUUUUAGGGUAUAUUGGUAUAUAUAGGAGGAAGAAAUACGUCAGGGGAGCCACGAGGGGCCCACGAAGGUGGAGGGCGCGCCCAGGGGGGUGGGUGCGUCCCCCUGCCUCGUGCCUUCCUCGUUGAUCCCCUGACAUGCACUCCAAGUCUCCCUGAUUGCUUUCUUUCCAAAAAUAACUUUCCCGAAGGUUUCAUUCCGUUUGGACUCCGUUUGAUAUUCCUUUUCUUCGAAACACUAAAACAAGGGAAAAAACAGAAACUGGCACUGGGCUCUGGGUCAAUAGGUUAGUCCCAAAAGUAAUAUAAAAGUGCAUAAUAAAGCCCAUAAACAUCCAAGACGGAUAAUAUAAUAGCAUGGAACAAUCAAAAAUUCUAGAUGCGUUGGAGACGUAUCACGCACCUUCUCAGCAUCUGAGCAACCUGCGGUGGUCAACUCCCUUCCAAUACGGCGUAGCCAAUCAUCAGCAACUAUAGGCUCGGUGCUACUGGAAAACACCGGCGGCUGCAACCUCAGAAAACGAGCUAAGUUGUCAACUGGAGGCGGGUUGUUGUUGUUGUUGUUGCCUUGGUUCUGGACUAAUAAUUGCAUCAAGGCAAUCUGCUGCUGGAUCAACUGAGUGAGCUCUAGCGGGAAGGCAAAUCCGGUGUCACGUCUCGGAGGCAUCUGAUGGGUUUAGAGGGGAGAGAUUAGAAUAGAAAAGGGGUCGACAAAACACUACCCAUAUGCACAUGAGACAAACAUAAUCAUAUCACUCAAUCAAUCAAGCAAGGGCAUACAAACGGUCUAGAACUAUCGUUAAAAGUGCUCGGACUACUACUAUAUACAUGGGGGAAUACUACUAAUCAUUUGGUGGUCUACUAGAAAUUUUGAUCGGUGGACGACUCCAUGAUGUCUCCUCCAGCUUCGUCUUCAAAGUCAUCUUCACUGGGGUCGGAGUCGGUGUCAUCGAUGAUGAUGUAGUUCUCCGGGCAAGUGGAAUCGUCGUCCUCUCCUCCUGGCGCGGGGUCUCCCAUGAAUACUCUGAUCUUCUUUAUCAGGUCGUCAUUCUUCUCCAAUAGUGUUGCAAUUUCCUCCUCAUAUCCAUCGUGUGUAGACUUGAGUUCUUCUUCCAGCUCGAUGAUCCUUGUCUUCGCCUUCUUCAAAUCUAUCAUGUCUGCGCACAUCUGAUUUUCCUGGCGUCGAAUGUGCUGGUUUAACUCCUGGAUGAAAGCUGCAAUGGAUCUGUCCUUCUUGGUGCUGAUCAUUUCCCAUUGUUCAUCUCGGCGCCCACAUAUCUGGUAGAUAGUGUCCUUAAGCUCCUUACUGUAGACUUCUCCAAUACGUCCCAUGGCAAUGUGGGCUGCCAUGCUCUUGCCUACACUCCAGGUUGGUGCAUCAAAGGAAAACUCUAUGGGCUCAGUGAUUGGCACGAACGUCCUUCCUGGAACUUGAACUCGAAUCAUCCAGCGCUCCUCUUCUGGUAAAGUGGCGUUGUAGGCCCCGGUGAAGCUUGGUAUUCCGAUGUUCAGGUACCUAGUGACUUCCUUCAAGUGGCGUCCAAAGGGUGUGUCUUCAUCAGGUUGUGCAAACUUGUUCCUCGAAUCCACCAUCCUAAGAGUAGAAAAUGGAGAGGAGUCAGAAAUGAGUAGAGAAGAGUGACCUAUGGCUUAUCUUAGUGGUCGUGUCCUACACUCAGCGUGUGCUCUGAUACCAUCAUGUAGCGACCCGACCUCAAACGGUCAAGUCUCUGUGCUUCCGUGUCAUCCCUGGAUCGGUAAUGCUGACACACACAGUACUCGAAGGAUUUAUAACAGAGUAGCAAUCACACACUUAUUACAUCGAAUGUCUCAAAAGAGAACUUAUUACAAUAAAUAUGGCAUAAGGCCAUCUAAUACGAUAACAGCGGAAGGCUUGGAAGAUAAAGUGAGUCCAUCAACUCCAACGGCAUAGCUGAGCUGCACGGCAACGACCUAACGAACCUUACUCCUCGUCUGAAAAGUCUGCAACAUAAUACGUUGCAGCCCGAGGUCAGCACAUGGAAUAUGCUGGCAAUAUAACACAGUAAUGCAAGAACAGAAUAAUGCUAUCACUAUAUGCAUAUUUGGCUGGUGGAAAAGCUCUAUGGUUAUAGUUUUGCGAAAAGCCAAUUUUUCCCUACAACAAAGGAAUAAGUUUUAUUUUAAUUAUCAUGGUAGUUGAAACAUCAUUGAGAAGGUUCCUCCAACUCAAUCCCAAUUAAAAGUAAUUAUCAACCCAACAAUAUUAAAUUAGAGUGAUGAGAUACUUAUGAUAAUCCAAGUACUAGAUACUCAAGAUGUCCAUAACCGGGGACACGGCUAACCAUGAUUAGAUUGUACACCCUGCAGAGGUUUGCGCACUUUUCCCCACAAGACUCGAUUGCCUCCGUUGGAUUUCUCGCACUACAUGGUGUUUGAGAAACGGAUGACUGAGACACAGUCUUUCAGAAGCAUUCACUCUAACCCUGGGUAGACAGUACCAACCUACAUCCCUCUACAUCUGCUAGCCUACCACUUGAAGAGGUCAUGCAACGUACUCAACUAUGCUAGAGCCCAUAAUAGCUUGUGGCUGCACACGGAAGUUUCUAGCAUGAAAUAUCUCAGUUCCCUUCAACCCUGGGUGGCGGACCUUAGGAUUAUCUCACAGGUACUCCGGGAUAUCCUAGGACAACACAGGAUUCUCCAGGUGCCCGACAAGCAAUCCACCCAGAUGUGUAUUAAAGUAGCCACCUUAAGUUGAACCAUUAAUUAACCAUCUCACAUCUGUCAUGGAUUCACUCACCCAAACCACGUCUACGAGCAUAGCAUAGCAAUAUAAGCAAUACGUAGAAGUAACUCCCAAGGGUUUGAUAAUAACAGGGCAAUAGGUUCUACCUCAUCAACUACUUCCCAAUACCCACAAGUUAAUCACAUCCUAAUCAUGCAGUGUUUGAGGAUUGGAGCUAAUGCAUAAAAACUGGGUAUGAAAAGAGUAUGAUCAAUGUGUUACUUGCCUUGCUGACGAUCCGCAAAACCUAGGGACUCGUAGUAGCACGCUUCAGCACUCCGGGAAUUCUAUCGCAAACAAACAAAAGCAUACAUAAGCAAUCAAUCAUGGAUGCACGGGUAAAACUCAAAUAAGAAGAACUAACCAGAAAGUUCAACUUAAGAACUCCGGUUUGCAAAAAGAAUCAAAUCAAACGGAGCAACGAAACUCAAACUGCGAAAGAAACAAGAUUUGUUUACUAAUCUGGACUAAAGUCAAAUUUUACUAUACCAAAAUCUUGUUCAAGUUGGUUAAACAGAAAGAGGGUUUCGAGACGAAGAUCUAGGCGCUUGAAUCGCCUGAUUCCGAUAAACGAGCGAAAAGAUAAACAAAAACAAAAAUCGGAUGAGAAAUCGCGAUCGAAAAUAAUCGUGAAAAACCCGGGAAAAAGAAAAAACGAACGAUUAGGCUAACGAACGAGCGUUUAUUGUCUGUGACUAGCGGGCGAAAACCGUUCAUUAAAACGAACGUACGGACGAACGUCCACUAAAUAAACUAAACCGAGAAAACCAACGAACCGGUCUAAAAAACAUAACUAGGGUUAAAAAACCGACGGUUUUUACCUAAACUGAAAAGAACCAGGCGGCGAGAUUUGCGAACUCCGACGCGGCUCCGGCGGCUUCUGGCAAGCGGGGCGGCGGCGCGGGCGACGGUGGGGUGGCGCGGGUGGUGCGGCGGCGAGGCGGGCGGCGNNNNNNNNNNNNNNNNNNNNNNNNNNNNNNNNNNNNNNNNNNNNNNNNNNNNNNNNNNNNNNNNNNNNNNNNNNNNNNNNNNNNNNNNNNNNNNNNNNNNNNNNNNNNNNNNNNNNNNNNNNNNNNNNNNNNNNNNNNNNNNNNNNNNNNNNNNNNNNNNNNNNNNNNNNNNNNNNNNNNNNNNNNNNNNNNNNNNNNNNNNNNNNNNNNNNNNNNNNNNNNNNNNNNNNNNNNNNNNNNNNNNNNNNNNNNNNNNNNNNNNNNNNNNNNNNNNNNNNNNNNNNNNNNNNNNNNNNNNNNNNNNNNNNNNNNNNNNNNNNNNNNNNNNNNNNNNNNNNNNNNNNNNNNNNNNNNNNNNNNNNNNNNNNNNNNNNNNNNNNNNNNNNNNNNNNNNNNNNNNNNNNNNNNNNNNNNNNNNNNNNNNNNNNNNNNNNNNNNNNNNNNNNNNNNNNNNNNNNNNNNNCGGGAGGGGCCGGGAGGUGUCCUGGGCGGCGACGGCGGCGGCUGCCGAGUCCUGGCCGGACUCAGGCACGGCGGAGGCGGUGGCGCGGCGUGGGCCGGCCUGGCUCGGCUGGGCCUUGGCCCAGUCAGGCGCGGAAGUUAAAAAAAAACAGAUUCCGCCGAAAAGAGAUCCUAGAAAAAUAAAUAAAAAUCUAAAAAUACAAAAACAAAUUUUCACCGUCUAAAUAAAAUAUUUAGAACAAGAUGAACUUUUUUUUGCCCUAAAAUGCAAUUUUUGAAAAAUGCAUAAUUUUCCUAUGCAAAUAAAAUAGCAAUAAAAUCCGAAUAAAAUCAAAUAUUUGAUUUUAAUAUUUUUCCUCCAAUAUUUCAUUUAUUUUGGAGAAGUCAUUUUAUCUCCUCUCAUAUAUUUUAAUAUGAAAUAUUUUCAGAGAGAAAAAUAAUUAAAACAAAUAAUCCUCGUUUCAAUAUUUGAUAAAAUUCAAAUAUGAAAACAGUGAAAUCCCCAACUCUCUCCGAGGGUCCUUGAGUUGCUUAGAAUUUUGAGGAUCGCGAAACGAAAUGCAACAAAAAUAUGUUAUGCAUGAAUGAUCUAUGUAUAACAUUCCAAAUUGAAAAUUUGGGAUGUUACACAGGACUUUUGGAGUUGUGCAGAAUAUGCCUCUAAUAUUUGCUCCUUUUCCAGCCAAGAAUUCCAGCUGCCGGCAUUCUCCCUCUUCAUAUAAACCUUGCAAAAUAAGAGAGAAUAGACAUAAGUAUUGUGACAUAAUGUGUAAUAACAGCCCAUAAUGAAAUAAAUAUUGAUAUAAAAGCAUGAUACAAAAUGGACGUAUCAACUCCCCAAGCUUAGACCUCGCUUGUCCUCAAGCGGAAGCCGAUAACGAUAAAUAUGCCCACAUGUUUAGAGAUAGAGGUGUCGAUAAAAUAAAAUACGGACAUGAGGGCAUCAUGAUCAUUUUUAUAACAGCAACAUAUAUAAAUAUUGUCAUAUGAUUUCUUAUGCUCAAGUAAUAAUCUAUCCACAAUGUCAAGUAUGAAUCAGAAACUUCAUUGAAAACCAACAAACUACAAUCUCAGUCAUUGAAGGAAUUGCAAUUUAUCAUAACAUAGGAAAGAGUCCAUGUAAGAGCUUUUCAGCAAGUUCACAUAUUCAACCAUCAUUUAGUCUUUCACAAUUGCUGACACUCACGCAAUACUUAUGGUUAUGGAGUUUCAAUCGGACACAGAGAAAGAUAGGGGCUUAUAGUUUCGCCUCCCAACCUUUUACCUCGAGGGUAAUGUCAACAAUAAUAACUCAUGCUAACUUAUAUCCAAUUGGAUAUAUAUAUCAGGAUCUUUCCAACACAAUGUGCUUACCAAAGGAUAAAAUGUAAAAAGGAAAGGUGAAGAUCACCAUGACUCUUGCAUAAAGUAGAAGAUAAUAGUAAAAGAUAGGCCCUUCGCAGAGGGAAGCAGAGGUUGUCAUGCGCUUUCAGGGUUGGAUGCACAAAAUCUUAAUGCAAAAGAACGUAACUUUAUAUUGCCACUUGUGAUAUGGACCUUUAUUAUGCAGUCCGUCGCUUUUAUUUCUUCCACAUCACAAGAUCGUAUAAAGCUUAUUUUCGCCCACACUAAUAAGUCAUACAUAUUUAGAGAGCAAUUUUUGUUGCUUGCACCGAUGACAACUUACUUGAAGGAUCUUACUCAAUCCAUAGGUAGAUACGGUGGACUCUCAUGGCAAAACUGGUUUUAAGGGUAUUUGGAAGCACAAGUAGUAUCUCUACUUGGUGCAAAGAAUUGGCUAGCAUGAGGGAGAAAGGCAAGAUCAACAUGUUGGAUGAUCCAUGACAAUAUACUUUAUCUCAGAUGUAAGAAAACAUAACCCAUUACGUUGUCUUCCUUGUCCAACGUCAACUCUUUAGCAUGUCAUAUUUUAAUGAGUGCUCACAAUCAUAAAAGAUGUCCAAGAUAGUAUAUUUAUAUGUGAAACCUCUCUUUGUUUAUUACUUCCUAUUAAUUGCAACGAUGACCAAAACUAUGUUUGUCAACGCUCAACAACUUUUAAUCAUCAUACUCUCUCUAUGUGAAGUCAUUACUCUUCAUAAGAUCAAUAUGAUAUCUUUAUUUCUUUUUAUUCUUUCUUUUUCUUUCAUUCACUCAAGAUCAUAGCAAGAUAAUCAAGCCCUUGACUCAACACUAAUCUUUAUUAUAUAGCUCACGGACUUGAUUACAUAGAGGGAUCAUAAAGCAAAACUCACGACUAGAUCAUACUAAAACUUUAUUUUACUAGAUCAAGAUAAUACCAAAAGGAUCGAACUAAGAAAAAGGGUAAAGAUAGGAGUGCGAUGGUGAUACGAUACCGGGGCACAUCCCCCAAGCUUGGCAGUUGCCAAGGGGAGUGCCCAUACCCAUGUGAUUAUAUCUCCUUUGCUGGUGAAGAUGAUGGUGGUGAUGAUGGAUAGUCGCACAUUGAGCGUAAGAGAUCCUCCAACUUGCGGAUAAUGCCCUUGAGUCCGACGAUAUGAUCCUUCAACAAAAAAAAAA